GUAAAAAUUUGGAAAAAAAGACUAGCCUUAUGGAUAUUUACAGAGAGUAAGCGGUUGGUGGAAGCUUAUAGUGGAAGUCAGGUGAAAAUCAUUUUUCUUAUUGCAGGUCUGAACCAGAGUAAGACUUGUCGCCUUGGUAGGCGUUAUCAAUACCCGGCAUUGAUGGAUGCUUGAGAGUCUAUCGUUUUAUCGAUAGGAAUAAAGGUGGUAACGCGGAAUAUUUUUCGUCCUUGGU
rfam:Peptoniphilus sp. oral taxon 375 str. F0436 noncontiguous_finished_chromosome, whole genome shotgun sequence.